UCCAGUGUGGUACAGUGUUUGAGUGUUAGACUAUGACUCUAGAGACCAGGGUUCAAAUCCCUGCAAAGCUA